GUCCACGCCGUAAACGAUGGGCACUAGACGCUGGGGGGAUCGACCCUCUCGGUGUCGAAGCUAACGCGAUAAGUGCCCCGCCUGGGGAGUACGGCCGCAAGGCUGAAACUCAAAGGAAUUGACGGGGCCCGCACAAGCGGUGGAGCAUGUGGUUUAAUUCGAAGCAACGCGAAGAACCUUACCUGGGCUUGACAUGUACCAGAAAGCCUCGUGAAAAGCGGGGCCCUCCUUCGGGACUGGUAGACAGGUGCUGCAUGGCUGUCGU
rnacentral:rRNA from 1 species